CGCGAGCGAGAGCACGCUCACUUUUUUUUUUGCGAGCGAGAGCUGAGCUACGCUCACUUUUCAGCACUGAGCGGGAAGCUCUGAGCGCGCUCUCAAAUCAGUAAGCUACUCCUAACUCUGGGUGGGGUUGAAAGAAUAUCAGGAAAAUGCUUCCUCGUUGCUGUCCCAGAUAGAUCUCCUGAUACUGGAUAUAAUCAAAGAAUGGAUAUUGCCUGGAUCUAUAAUAAUAUCGGAUUGCUGGAAAGCAUAUGAUAAGAUAGAGUAAUUAAUCAUUUUUUUUUCAUUUUAACCAUUUCUGUUUUAAAAAUUAUUUUACGUAGGGAACAUAAUGAAUAUAUCCAUUUAAAAGUUAACCAUAGUUUACAUUUUAAAGAUCCCGAAACUGGAGCGCAUACUAAUCAAAUAGAGGGUAAAUCACCUUAGUAUAUAAUAUUAUUAUUUUACUUAACUGCUUUUGUGUUAGGAUUGUGAAAUUUAGCAAAAAAAAAGUCUUCCGAACACAAAUACGAGUAAAAAAUUGUUUGCGGGUAAUUUAGCAUCUUUUAUGUUGCGCACGAAAUGGAAGGGCAAAGAUGGUUUUAAAUUACUCAUGCAAUAUGCGGCAAAACUAUAUUCUGAACAUUCUGUUAGAGAAGAAACUGACGCAAAGCAAAUGAAGGAUUUGGAAUAGGAGUUUCAUCUACUAUCCAUGUAGAAUCGAAAAGAUUUGGUGAAUCAAUUGUGAAGAAUAAUUUAGUACCUCAUUUUUUGCUGGGGUGGAAUAAAGUGGAUGAUGUGAUGGUUUUUCAGUUGAUACAUUAGUUAUUUCUGUACAGUUUACUAUUGUGUUUGCUAUCAGUUCCUUCAAUUAGUUUAGAUUAGUUUUAGAGUUAAUGAAUGUUUAAAUAAUACAAUAGUUAUAUUUACACCGGUUAGAUUAGAAACAAAAAGAUUUAGUGAAUAAAUUAUGAAGGUACAUUCAGCUUGUUAAAAUUUAUUGGUGCUAAACUUAAAAAUUUUCUAUUGUAGAAUAAUUUAGUACCUCAUUUUUUGCUGGUGUGGAAUACAGUGGAUGAUGUGAUGGUAUUUCAGUUGAUACAUUAGUUGGUAUUUCAGUUGAUACAUUAGUUAUUUCUGUACAGUGUAAUAUUGUGUUUGCUAUCUGUUCCUUAAAUUAGUUUAGAUAAUAUUUAUUGUUAAUGAAUGUUAAAAUAAUACAAUAGUUAUAUUUACAUCGGUAAGAUUAGAAUCGAAAAAUUUGGUGAAUCAAUUGUGAAGGUAAAUUCAGCUUGCUAUAAUUUAAUGAUGUUAAACUUUAAAAUUUUGUAUCGUAGAAUAGUUUAGUACCUCAUUUUUUGUUGGGGUGGAAUAAAGUGGAUGAUGUGAUGGUAUUUCAGUUGAUACAUUAGUUAUUUCUGUACAGUUUACUUUUGUGUUUGCUAUGAAUUCCUUCAAUUAGUUUAGAUUAAUUUUACAGUUAAUGAAUGUUAUUAACACUAGUUAUAUUUACAUCGUUCAAUAUAAAUAGUUUCUCCAUAGUGGUUUUGAGAUCAAAAAUAGAUGUAUUUCGUAGAUUUUUGCCUAAAGCUAAUAUAAUUUUCUAUAAUUCAAAUUGCAAAUAAAAAUAUUUAAGUAAAAAUUGAUUUGGUUUUAAGAAAAGUUACCGUUUGUAGUUUUUUCAUUUCUUCUUCUACGUACUUUAGUUUAGAAUUUGAUUGUUCCAGAGAUAAAUUUAAGUUUUCAUUUUCAUUUUGUAAUUUGCCUUCAUGGUUUUUCAAGCAACAGGUUCAAGGCAGUAUUUUAAAUUUUGAGAAAGCAACAAGAAAAUAUGCUUGUUGAAAACCAGUCUAUUUACGUAUUCGUCGAGUUACAAACGUAAAAAUUUGUUUGUUACCACUAGAUGGCUAAGAUCUUAGUUUAACACAUGGCCUACUCUAGUAACGGCCUAUAGGCUGGCUAUCCAAAAAAACCAAUUGUAUACAACAAACCGAAGAAAAGAAAGGUCAUGAAACUGCAAAAAUAGAACUCCGUAACACCUUUCAAAUCUUUUGAUUUAAUGUUAUCGUAGACAGUAACUCUUCAUGAAACUGCAAGCUGUGAAACCGUCACAAUGACCAUUAUAAAAUGGAAAUACAAUAGUGUGGUAACUCGCCUGUAACAUUA
rnacentral:lncRNA from 1 species